UGGGGAAUAUUGCACAAUGGGCGAAAGCCUGAUGCAGCAACGCCGCGUGAGUGAUGAAGGCCUUCGGGUUGUAAAGCUCUGUCUUUUGGGACGAUAAUGACGGUACCAAAGGAGGAAGCCACGGCUAACUACGUGCCAGCAGCCGCGGUAAUACGUAGGUGGCAAGCGUUGUCCGGAUUUACUGGGCGUAAAGGAUGCGUAGGCGGAUUUUUAAGUGAGAUGUGAAAACCCUAAGCUUAACUUGGGGACUGCAUUUCAUACUGGAAAUCUAGAGUGCGGGAGAGGAGAAUGGAAUUCCUAGUGUAGCGGUGAAAUGCGUAGAGAUUAGGAAGAACACCAGUGGCGAAGGCGAUUCUCUGGACCGUAACUGACGCUGAGGCAUGAAAAGCGUGGGUAGCAAACAGGAUUAGAUACCCUGGUAGUCCACGCCGUAAACGAUGAGUACUAGGUGUAGGAGGUAUCGACCCCUUCUGUGCCGCAGUUAACACAAUAAGUACUCCGCCUGGGAAGUACGAUCGCAAGAUUAAAAACUCAAAAUGAAUUGACGGGGUCAUAGCUGUUUUCCU
rnacentral:rRNA from 1 species